rnacentral:rRNA from 1 species
GACGAACGCUGGCGGCGUGCUUAACACAUGCAAGUCGAACGGAAAGGCCCUGCUUUUGUGGUGUGCUCGAUUGGCGAACGUGUGAGUAACACGUGAGUAACCUGCCCUUGACUUUGGUAUAACUUCACGAAACUGGGGCUAAUACCUGAUAGGAUCUCCUGCUGCAUGGUGGGCUUUGGAAAGUUUCGGCGGUUGGGGAUGGACUCGCGGCUUAUCAGCUUGUUGGUUGGGUAGUUGCUUACCAAGGCUUUGACGGGUAGCCGGCCUGAGAGGGUGAACGGCCACAUUGGGACUGAGAGACGGCCCAGACGCCUACGGGAGGCAGCAGUGGGGAAUAUUGCACAAUGGGCGGAAGCCUGAUGCAGCAACGCCGCGUGCGGGAUGACGGCCUUCGGGUUGUAAACCGCUUUCGCCUGUGACGAAGCGUGAGUGACGGUAAUGGGUAAAGAAGCACCGGCUAACUACGUG